rnacentral:rRNA from 1 species
AACGAACGCUGGCGGCAUGCCUAACACAUGCAAGUCGAACGAGACCUUCGGGUCUAGUGGCGCACGGGUGCGUAACGCGUGGGAACCUGCCCUUAGGUUCGGAAUAACUCCCCGAAAGGGGUGCUAAUACCGGAUAAUGUCUUCGGACCAAAGAUUUAUCGCCUUUGGAUGGGCCCGCGUUGGAUUAGCUAGUUGGUAGUGUAAAAGCCUACCAAGGCGACGAUCCAUAGCUGGUCUGAGAGGAUGAUCAUCCACACUGGGACUGAGACACGGCCCAGACUCCUACGGGAGGCAGGAGUGGGGAAUAUUGGACAAGGGGCGAAAGCCUGAUACAGCAAUGCCGCGUGAGUGAUGAAGGCCUUAGGGUUGUAAAGCUCUUUUACCCGGGAUGAUAAUGACAGUACCGGGAGAAUAAGCUCCGGCUAACUCCGUG